GGGGAACGAGGCCUCCGAGGCCCCUCAUGGCCACCAACUGUGGCCACCUGCACCUGCCGUGAAAUCAGCCCGGCCCAGUGGCCCCAGGACCUGAGAACUGAGUGCCCUGCAGCUUAUAAACUAACAAAAUUGGCUGAGCAAGAACUUGCCUGAAGGGUUGGGCAGGGGGUGUCCGAGCUCUGGGUGGACGUGGGGCACCUUGUCACUAAUUCGUAGCUCGGUCACUUAGGUUCACCCACCGCAGCCCCAACCUACAGCCCGACCCACCCAAAGGAGGAAGAAAUAAGAGGGCAAGUGUGAGGAAAGCAUUUUACAGCUCUUUAAUAACUGUUUUGCUAGGUUCUGUUUCUUCUGUUCAAAGUAUGUUAUAAAAAUAUUCUGCAAUUAAAGAAAGAAAAAAAAAACAGGAAAGUCCUUUUAAAAACAGGUUUGAGGUAAAGAACAGGUUGAUCCUAUCAGCUCGGGGAAAACACCUCCCGCAGCAAAAGUCCGUGACCAGCUGUGUUUGCACUCGCUGGGGAGAGGGAGGGGGCAGCGAGGUCACGGGGGAUGGCGCCCCGAGGUCUGAGGGCAGCUCUCUGUCCUGUCCCUCCAGCGCUGUCGCUAGGAGCCAGAGUCACUCACACCACAGCUUCCAUCCUCCGUGAUCUGGUCUGCACAAGCACUCCAUCCUGCAGUUAGUCCAGCCCUGCAAACGGAGCCCGAGUCAGGACGGACCCAACCUGGCCUUUCAGGACCCGGCCUCUGCAGGUAAAUCCUGCCUUUCACCUCCUGCCACCCUUCUCCAAGAUGUCUGUGGGACAUGGCUACUGCGAACUCCUGUUGGAGGAGAAAUGGCCUAGACAUACAGGGGAUUCUGUUCUUAUCCUCAACUCCUCUCUCCCAACUCCUGAAAGAGGGUGAUGGUCCCUGCACAGAGCCCUGGGACCUGCAGUGACUUCUCUGGAGGAGUAUCCUUCCCCACCACACUGAUUUGGCCACCCAGUGACUUGCCUAGGGCAGCGGCAGGUGGGAGCAGGUGCGUUCAGAGCCAGCGUUGGUUCCUGCCAGCUCUCUCAUUCUUUUCCCUUCCCUGAGAAAGGCAUGACCCACACUGGGGCUGCUCUCUCAGUCAGGGGCCCAGACUGAGAAGACAUGUGGGGCAGAGCCCAGAGGACCACAGCCACCAACAUGUAACACACCUGCGGGAUAAACUGCUAUGUUUUAAGACGCAGAGAUGAGGGGCGGUUUGUUCCUGCGGCCUUAACUAGCAAAAGCUGACGGACAUAGGCCUUGUCCUCCUCCGAGUCCUCCACAGUAAUGUCUCUUCUCCGCUUGCCUCAAGCCUGUAGCCAGAGAAUCCUGCUCUGCUCCCCUUGUUUUGGGCAGAGUCCUCGCUUUACCUGCGAUCCCGCUCAGGUCCAACUGCUGGUGCUGGAGUAGACUUCAAGGUGACCGCUCACCCCCCAGGAGGUGGAGCAAGAACCCUCCACCCUCAGCAUCCCCUCAGCCAGACCAGCACGUGGGCCCGGAGAGAAGGAAUCCGAGCACACGCCUCUCACCCCCUGCCACCCUUACCCUGCUUCCUCCAUGGUCCCUCGUGGGGAAGGAGUGGCUCUGCACUUCCUGUUUGCCAUUACCUGAGCCCUUGCCACCUGGGGAGUGAUAAACUUUGUGAUCUCAUCAGCCAAGCCUGGACUUCCAUAUGCUACCGGAGGAUCUCUGUCAACAAUCCCCCUAUUUCCGCAAAGCCUGGACUUCCAUACCAUCAUCUCCAUAACGAGGUCAAAAAAGUCAGCUUGGAGUCCCGAGGAUGACCACUUCCCACCCCUUCCCUGUGGCAAUGUCUGAUGGCUCAUCCUCUGAGACGGCAGCUGCAAGAAAACGUGAAUGAAAGGGUGAUUUUAAAAAGGAAUCCGUUCAAAUAGUUAAGAUGGGUCGCUCCUGUGGUGUUCCUGUUUUUCCUUUUUCAAGAUUCUCAGAGCUACUACUAUCUGCGUUCUCCUGAGGAGGGGAAGGGCGCUUCACUCUACCCAGCCUACUGGGAGAGGGCUUAAGAGUGGCCCUGUCCAUCUCAUGUGACCUUCUGGCCCCAGACCCCAAUAAAAUCCUCAAAUAUUCUCCUUGCCACGGAUACAUGGAGUUCAAGAGCCUUGACAUAUACACUAAUGUGCUCAGUGUCAUUCAGGAACCAGGUUGGCUGCAUAGAACAGAAAAACCAAAUAACAGUGGCUUAAACAAAAUAGGAGCUCAUUUGUCUCACAUAAUGAGGAGAUCAAACAUUAAAAAUUCAGGGCAGUCUAGCAUCCCCAUGACGUUCUCC
ensembl:lncRNA